GAUGAACGCUGGCGGCGUGCCUAACACAUGCAAGUCGAGCGAAGCACUUUGCUUAGAUUCUUCAGAUGAAGAGGAUUGUGACUGAGCGGCGGACGGGUGAGUAACGCGUGGGUAACCUGCCUCAUACAGGGGGAUAACAGUUAGACAUGACUGCUAAUACCGCAUAAGACCACAGCACCGCAUGGUGCGGGGGUAAAAACUCCGGUGGUAUGAGAUGGACCCGCGUCUGAUUAGCUAGUUGGUAAGGUAACGGCUUACCAAGGCGACGAUCAGUAGCCGACCUGAGAGGGUGACCGGCCACAUUGGGACUGAGACACGGCCCAAACUCCUACGGGAGGCAGCAGUGGGGAAUAUUGCACAAUGGGGGAAACCCUGAUGCAGCGACGCCGCGUGAGCGAAGAAGUAUUUCGGUAUGUAAAGCUCUAUCAGCAGGGAAGAAAAUGACGGUACCUGACUAAGAAGCACCGGCUAAAUACGUGCCAGCAGCCGCGGUAAUACGUAUGGUGCAAGCGUUAUCCGGAUUUACUGGGUGUAAAGGGAGCGUAGACGGAUGGGCAAGUCUGAUGUGAAAACCCGGGGCUCAACCCCGGGACUGCAUUGGAAACUGUUCAUCUAGAGUGCUGGAGAGGUAAGUGGAAUUCCUAGUGUAGCGGUGAAAUGCGUAGAUAUUAGGAGGAACACCAGUGGCGAAGGCGGCUUACUGGACAGUAACUGACGUUGAGGCUCGAAAGCGUGGGGAGCAAACAGG
rnacentral:rRNA from 1 species